AUGGAAUAAAUCUCUUUCUAGUGACAUUUUGCAACGCUACUAUACAGGAUUUAUUCCUUUUU
rnacentral:antisense_RNA from 1 species